AUUCAAGUAUUUAGGUUCUAUCAUUCAAAAUAAUGGAGUUUUAGAUGAUGUGACCAAGAGGAUCAAUACAGGAUAGACGAAACGGAGGAUUGUGACAUUUGUAUUAUGCGACAAAGUGAAGGUAAAUUCUAUAGGAUUAUGGUCAUACUAGCUAUGUUUUAUGGGAAUGAAUGUUGGGCAUCUGAGAUGCAACAUACCCACAAGAUGAGUGUAACAGAAGUGCAAAUGUUAAAAUAGAUAUUUGGUAACACGAUAAUAAAUAAGAUUAGGAAUAACCACAUCCGUCAGAAAUGCAUGUAGCAAAUAUUGGAGAUAAAAUAAGAGAGAGUUGAUUAAGAUGGUUUG
rnacentral:misc_RNA from 1 species